GAACCUAAGCUUUGAUCCAUGUUAAUUGUCGUGAUCUUCAAAGACAAAGUCACCACUUACUUUAAAUGAAUUUUACAUCUUUUUAAAGAAUCACACGGAAAUUAGGGGAAGUAAUUAAUUUUUUAUUAUGUGUCUCAAUAUUUUUAAGGGAGGAAGUCAAUGGUAUUGGCUAGAAUUCAUUUUAACAUUUAACUAGGGAAAACAGCAUGAGGCAAAAAAACGUUCAGAUGCAAAAGAUUAAAGAAAAUUUGAAACUGGGACCUAAUUUGUCUUGAUAAACUUUGGUGUUUAAUAUGCUUCUUUUGUUCUCAGUGUGAAACUGCAGGGUUUUGAUUUGUAAAAACUUUUUGAAGAAUUAAUUCUUUCUAAUUUUUAUUCCUUUCUUUUCUUUCCUUGUACUCGGAGACAGUGGAGUUGACCUUCAAACCAUAACACUUUUAAAUAUCUGUGAAUAUACAAGGUUAAAUCUAUUAGUGGUCUGAGAUUAGCUGUUCUGCACUUGCAAAGUGUGUACCUUCUGCAGCAAAUUUUAUCUCCUGGUGAAUGAUAACGAGCUUACAUCCACCCUACAAGUUUUCAACAAAUAAUGGGAUAUGUGUUAACAGUGAUAUGGAAGGAUGUCAUGCUUUGAGCUGAAUGCCAAGACUGAGCCAGAAGGGUUGGGAAGCGGAGGAGCAAUGCUCACCCCUGGAAUUGUGAGGUGUCUUUGCUGGAGAUUCUCAUGGGAGUAACUUAAAGAAUCAGACCCUCAGUUUAGAAAUUUUCCCAGGGAGGAGGAGAGGAGCAACACCUCAUCCCACCCUCCCGUGACUCCCAGCCUCUCUCUUCAAUCUUCCUCUCGCUCCUGGCCUGGCCUCUCCGUGCAGCUCCAGAGCUCUGGAUGUUACCAUCUGUUAUGAGUAGAAAAAGCUGCCAUUUUUUAAAAAAAGGUUGCAGAGUGAACAGGUUGGACCAGUUGCUGCCAGGGUGGAGUUCUAACUGUUUGUUAUUGUAAUCACUGGUCAUUUUUGUAAACUACCUGUCGCUGAUGGUUAAGAACCACCAUCCAUGUGGAUGACCCUUCUCGGAUGGUGAAAGGAGGGGACAUCGGAGGGCAUGCAAAUGACCUCGGAGCCAGCAUGCCAUGGGAAAGCCAGCCCACCAAACUCACCAAAAGACCCCAAAAGCAACAAGCCAACAC
rnacentral:lncRNA from 1 species